UGAGUAACACGUGGGUAACCUGCCUGUAAGACUGGGAUAACUCCGGGAAACCGGAGCUAAUACCGGAUAGUUCCUUGAACCGCAUGGUUCAAGGAUGAAAGACGGUUUCGGCUGUCACUUACAGAUGGACCCGCGGCGCAUUAGCUAGUUGGUGAGGUAACGGCUCACCAAGGCGACGAUGCGUAGCCGACCUGAGAGGGUGAUCGGCCACACUGGGACUGAGACACGGCCCAGACUCCUACGGGAGGCAGCAGUAGGGAAUCUUCCGCAAUGGACGAAAGUCUGACGGAGCAACGCCGCGUGAGUGAUGAAGGUUUUCGGAUCGUAAAGCUCUGUUGUUAGGGAAGAACAAGUGCAAGAGUAACUGCUUGCACCUUGACGGUACCUAACCAGAAAGCCACGGCUAACUACGUGCCAGCAGC
rnacentral:rRNA from 1 species